GACGUAGGAGGCGAGCGUUGUCCGGAGUUACUGGGCGUAAAGCGCGCGCAGGCGGUCACGCAGGUCAUCUGUGAAAGCACCCGGCUCAACCGGGUUGUUGCGGGUGAAACCGCGUGACUUGAGGUCGGGAGGGGUCGGUGGAAUUCCCGGUGUAGUGGUGAAAUGCGUAGAGAUCGGGAGGAACACCCGUAGCGAAGGCGGCCGACUGGACCGAUCCUGACGCUGAGGCGCGAAGGCCAGGGGAGCGGAA
rnacentral:rRNA from 1 species